ACAGGGCUGUCCAAGCUUUUGAUCUUAGAUGAGCUUUCUGCUUGUUAAGAAACUUCCAUUCAAAUCCUCUGCCUUGUGCUCUGAAGGGGCGACUGCAGUGAUUUCCUCAAGGAUCAGUCAAUCUCAGGAAAUGCCACGUGUCCAUUUGGUUCAGCUGACCUGGAAGAUUCUUGGAGAAAGUGAAUCAGCUUUGGACUGCUGAGCUAGGGGCCUGGGAGUUCGGGGCUGCCGGUGAGCUCCUUGACUGACACAGAAGGGCCUGACUGCAGAGUGCAGCCUAGUGUGGCUGAGAGCAGAGCCAGAGCCCCAAGGGCGUCUCUGGGUGCCUGGAUCUUUCUGUGCUUCAAGCCAGCCCCGCCUUUCCAACUUCCCAGUGCUACAACCCAGUGGAUUUCUUUAUCUCCUCAGCUUGUGUGAGUUGGAAUGCUGUCACUUUUAACUGAAAGCAUGUAAAGCAGAGGGCCAGCCUUCGAGGAGCCUGUUGUAUAAAAAUCUUUACUAAAGACUUGGCACUUAAAGAUUACACUUCAAAUACGUAAGCAAAAAUGAAGAACUUCUCUGUUAUCACAUAGAAGGGCCUCCAGGGAAGAAGUGAUUGUUCUUUCCCGUACAGAAGAUAAAGAACCAGAAAAUGUGGAAAUACUUGAGGAUCCCCAGGGCCGGAAAGUCCAGCCUGACCCAGAAUUACUCUCUGAGUUCCCCUGCACAGCGGUUACCCCCGGCUCUUCCAGGAGCAGGAGCUGGACACUCCUGUGAGCACCGCUGCCUCUUCUGCAUGGUGGCGGCAGUGGGUGGACAGUGUGUAGUCAAGUCUUAGACUCACUCUGGAGGCUAGUGACAGUUUCUCCAAACAAGAUCCUUUGUCGCCAUCCUAGAACACUGAGUGGAUGAAGCUCUCUAGUAAUGACUGCCGUGAGGUGUCCUGGCCGAGUGCUCUAACUAUCACAGGCCAGCUUCUGAUGCUCGGAGUGGGCCAGAGGCACUGCAUUCUCUCUCCAUGGACAACACACGGUAGAUGCCCAGUAAACGUUUGCUGAAUGAAUGAAUCUAAAUUUAUGAGGUUCUCUAAGUGUGUUUCCAUUAGCGCUGUCAGUUAUGAAGUCAGUGAGAUGGUGUGUGAUUGUGCACAUAAAACAGCCGCAGCCAAGAGGUUAGGUUGAACUCGGCUGUGAGACAAACAACUGUGAUCGCCGUUUUUUUUCUCUUGGUAGAGAAAUGACAGGAAUGCUCUGUGGGAGGGCUUCUCUCUUGGCCUCUUCUUUUGCUUUUCGUUCCAAUGUGCUCCCUCCCAACCCUCCUUAGAUGUUACUGUACUAUGCCGUUUCUGAGAAGAGUAUUCAGAAGUACCCCAACUAACAGGUACAUCUUAUCAGGGUAUCUCCUUCCCUGUGUGUGGCUGAGGAGCACAGAAGGAAGGAACAGCGUAUUUCUCCCUGGUGAACCCUGGAGGAAAUUUAGCCCGUGGUCAUAGAGCAAGGGUGCUAAAGUCUGAAUAUUUAUAUCCA